UCCAGAACCUUGGCAUUCAAAGGAAAACAUAGGAACACUGGGCCCCUGGCACAUUCCAACUGAACCAAGCCACGGGGGGAGAGGAGGAAAGUCCAAGAGAAGGAGGGUCAUGGACUGAGGGGAAAGGAAAGAGCCUGGAAAACAGGGAUGAUUUUUCUCUUGACAGGAAAGAAAAGUAGCAGCUUUUACAUAAUUUAAUGCUCUAAGAGGUGGACAAGUGUUGGGAUGCAGACCUGGUGAAAUCACAUGCUUCCAAUGUAUUGGCAACACCAAGAUGCCAACUGUCACCUGAGAGCCAAAUGUGGUCUGAGGCAGCCGGAGAAGCUGGAUCGGCGAUGAUCAUUUAACAAUGGAAACAGCUUGGACCCAAGGAGCCGGAACUCUGCUCCCCUUCCCUCUUCUCUAAGGGGCCCACGCUCCUCUAAUCUACACUGACCCGGGCUCUGACAGAUUGGAUUCAGUGCUGGGGGAGCCUGAUCACCUCGAAGAAGAAGAGUCAGGCUUCUUUUCUUGCAUUCUUUAGUCCUUUCCACCCCACCCCCUGAGCCUGGGGGACAUGGAAGUUUAAACUUGGCCUCAUGGAUAGAAUCAGUCAACCAAUAAGUGUGUACUGACUAAGAACUUACUACAAGCCAGGUACUAUGCUAAUUGCUGAGGAUACAAAGAAUCGUGGCCCCUGGCCUCAGGCAGCUCCAAGUCUAAUGUAGGAGUCGGCAGAUCUAAAACAACUACAUAUGGACAAGCGUUAAUGGAUGGUCAUUUCAGAGGGAAAACACAAGUCACUUCUUGCAGAUGGUGAGAUUUGAACAGAGACUGGAGAAAAUCUGAGAAGCUGGGAGGCCAAGAUGAUGAGGAGGAACAUCCUGCGCCCGGAGGAUGACCAGUGAGAUAACACGGAAGUCUGGAGGUAGACUGCGAGGAAAACAAGAUGGCGGUUCUCUCCAAAAGGGAGACGAGCAAAGUAAAUUGGGUUUGGGGCAUUGGUUCAUGUCUUCCACCCAAAAUAAACAAUGAACUCAAAUAGGACUCACAGGUUCAGAACGAGAAAGCUUAAACAAUCAUCGAUAAUGUUUAGUUCCGGCUAGAGUCUCCAGGCUGAGAUUUCACCCACCGCUCUUUGCUGGAGGACUGAACAGAUGUUUGACAUUGUACCAUACUCUGGACUAUUCAAACAGUGCAGGGUCCAUUCAGGUCAAUGGUUUUUUCUGCUAACCAGCCCAUGGUUUCAGCUCUUCCUGACAUCAUUGGUCAGCUUCUUAAUGAGACAUUGCAAUGGGUGGAGAGAGAGACCACCCAGGGUUUUCUGUGUUGUCUCGUCCCAAGCACCAGUCUAUUUGGUGUCUCAUCUAUUGUCUAGCUAUUUACUUUUUAUUUAUUUUAGUUAAGACUUAUCUCCCCCUCCCGAUGUUCUCCCAACUGAACAAUAAAAAGAAAGAAAACCUUCAUCAAAAACAUCCAUUGUCCAGCCAAAUAAGUUCCUCCAUUGGUCAUGUCCAAAAUUGGCUUAUUUGGCUUAUUCUUGGUUCUAAGUCCAUCCCAUCUCUGGGCUAAGUUCUCACUAAAGGGUUAGAAGAAAACACUUCUUAAAGCCCAGUCCAAGGGUCAGUGAAAUCUCCAGGAUGGUUCUCCUCUUCAUGGGUGUUCUGGUAAAUGUUUAACAAUCAGCUCUCAAAAACAUUCAUGAAUGGCAUUAAGUUCAAUCUCUAUAAUGAACAUUUUCUCCACCGGUUCUCCACCCGGUCCAGGCAAUCAACAGAACAAUGAAUCAAGUCUUGAUGUCUAUAGCAUUUGCUUAUUUCAGCUUACACUGAAAAUGUCAGCUCCAGGACACCACUGCUCCAACCUCUUUAAAGAGAAAUAACAUAAAAUAAAUGUUGCUCAUUCCAUA